rnacentral:rRNA from 1 species
GAGACAGCAGUAGCCGCGGGAAUACAGAGGGUGCGAGCGUUAAUCGGAUUUACUGGGCGUAAAGCGUGCGUAGGCGGCUUCUUAAGUCGGAUGUGAAAUCCCUGAGCUUAACUUAGGAAUUGCAUUCGAUACUGGGAAGCUAGAGUAUGGGAGAGGAUGGUAGAAUUCCAGGUGUAGCGGUGAAAUGCGUAGAGAUCUGGAGGAAUACCGAUGGCGAAGGCAGCCAUCUGGCCUAAUACUGACGCUGAGGUACGAAAGCAUGGGGAGCAAACAGGAUUAGAGACCCGUGUAGUCCCUGUCUCUUAUAC